CGUCCGGGAAAAGUUGUCUCCGACGACAUUUUGCGAAAAUCACCUCCCCUUUCCUCCGACAAACAACACACUCCCCGCGCCAGAGCCAGAGCUCCCUUGCUCGUCUCCCCCUCGCCGGAGCUCCCCCGCGCCAGAGCUCACCUCCUCUGCUCCCCCGCACAGCUCUCCCGCGCGUCGCCGGAGCUCCCUCUCCCCACGCCACUGCCGCGUUGCUUCCCCCCUCCUCGUUCCUCUCAUCGUCCCCCCAUGGCGAAUCACGGCGAGGAAGGCUCGACUUUUUUCGAUCUGCUAUCCGACGGCGUCCUUCCCCGAGGGCGGCGAGCCAGAGCUUCCCCUGCGCGUCGUCGACCACCUCCUCAUUGGCUGGACGCCGUCGACCACAAACCCAGUAUUCUCCAAGCGCACGCCGCUGUGUGGGUCGCCGAGAUGCCGAGGCCGAGGCGGAGCUCCAGGCCAUCGAGGUCGCGUACGCCGCCGAGUCCGGCAAGCGCCGCCAACUCCCAGACUGGUCCAAGGCACCCGCCCCCGCCUCCGUCUGCCCAUAGCCCAACCCAGUCCCCUCGCCCCCCUCCUGCCAAGUGGACUUCACAUUCCAAAGGAGGGACAAAAUCUGGAGUAAUUGAUUAUUUCCAAAAUCUGGAGUAAUCUUCUCAAGUUACAUGAUCAGUUGUGCUUGACUGAAAAUUUUCACAGGAAAAUUUUGACUGGAGUAACAGAGGCAUAACAGUACAAAUUACAGGCGAAUGUGGAUGUUGCACACUAUUGUGAAGGUGUAGCACUGCCCAAUUAAAUUUCCACUUCACAUAUCUACUUCAAUUUCUACUACAAAUUCACCUUUUCAACAGUAGACGCGGGGCAGAGAAGUCAGACGGCGAGGAUGAGCAGAAGCAUCAGACGGCGAGGAGGAGCAGAAGCAUCAGACGGCGAGGACUCGAUCUGGGGGCGUUGGCUUCGCCCAACAGCUGCAGCAUCAGAGGCUGGAGGGAAUCGCGGCGGCAGCAGAAGGAAGCGGCGGCCGGCGACUUGCCCAAAUCCCGCACCGGCGGCCGCGGGCGCGAGGAAGCGGGCAGAGGAUGAGGGCGCGGGCCGCACCGGCUAGGGACGCGAGCAGGGCGACGAGGGAGGUGCCUUCAGCCGUGGAGGAGGCGGGCGUCCAGUUGGUCGCCGCGGAGGAGCAGUCACCUCCGUGUGGGCGGCGGCGCAGCUCGCCUUCGUGCAGGCGGCGCAGGCGGGCAGGGGCGCCGCGGAUUGGCAGCGGCUGCAGGCGGCGCAGGCGGGCAGGGGCGCCGCGGAUUGGCAGCGGCGGCGCAGCGGCGACGCAGGUGGACGGCAGCGCGCUGGGCUCUACGGUGGCUGCCGACGGCGCGCUGGGCUUGUUCCUGCCGCGGGCGUCCGGAGGAGGAAGAAGCAAAGGGGUAAUUAGCAGGAGAUUUAAAAUCCUAAGGGUUUAUUUGCAAAAAUCAUAAUGAACUACGCCGUGGACAACUUUUCCCGGACGGAGGGAGUACUUGUCUUGAUUUUGAACUAAAACCACGACAGAUAUUUUAAAACGGAAAGAGUACAUUGCAAGCAUGAACUUAAUCAUUUCCUUCCUCUCCGGCCUGGUCAACUCCAUACUCACAUGCAAUCGAGAGAAACUAUAAUAUGUUUUCUGUAAAUUUCUCAAGCUCUAAAUGAGCCAAAAACCAAUCAUAUUGUGGAAAAUAUAGGAUGGCUGAAUAUUAUGUUGUA